AGGCGUUGCUGCUAACUGCUGCAUGACGCCGGUGGUAAACGGCGGCGUGAUGAUGGCUGCGAGCACACAGAGGAAGCGGCCGACGAUGUGGCCGAGGAGCUGGAAUUGGGACGUUGGGUGGAGGAGUUCAUCUCCGCGCUCCGGCACCAUCUCAGGAUUGAAUCCUCUCCUCAUUGUCGUCUAGAAGGUGGCUAGGCAGGGGCUCGUGGAUCCGAGGGGAUUUGUGGUUGCUGAUUGUGCGUUCAGAGCUGGUUAAGCUGAGAAGAAGGGAGGGGCAAAACCUGCAGGUGAUGGAAUAUAUCAAGAACAGAACUACUGAUGAGCUUUGAGAUCACAUGGGAAGUUUGAACCAGCGUACUUGUCCGAGACCAGUUCAAGACGUACAUACAAAUACAGAUACCAUCAUUUUCCUUGGGCUGGAGUAACAGGAUUUAUCUCAUCUAAGAUUGAUGGUUCAAAGUCCACACGCAAAUCUCACACAUCCGAGACAUGUUGAAUUCAGAGCUCCAGGCAGAUUCAAAGGCUAUUUUAACAAGUGGGAUUACGUACCUUCACUAAAUCUGAUAAUCCCAACAGAGGCUGUAAACCUGAUGAGAAAUACUCCCUGAUCACACACAAGGUAUUAAAACAGGUUAGAUCUCAAAGCAUGAAACAACAAGUCUCCUAACAAGUGGGGAGACAACCAAAGCACCAUAGAUAAAUUGUCAAUUUACCAUCAAAGUAAAUUCCACGAUUUUGAUUAGAAUGAAGAACCAAAGCAAACUGCACUUUUCAAGGGAUUGAUGCCACAUAACCACAAGCAUUCCUGAACCAGCAUACUAUUUGGUAAUCAUGAAUUCAUGAGGGAAAUAAAAUUAUCGAUGCAACCUUCCUGAAUAGGCAUCAUGUAGCACCACAAAUUUUAACUUACAAUAGAAUUGUCGAUAUAUCUCUUUGUGUACAAAGUUGUGCUUGCUCGUGUGUUGAGGAUACUAACAUUCAUUAUGUACUAA